GGGACACACCUGUACCCAUGCCGAACACAGAAGUUAAGCCUCUUAACGCCGAUGGUACUUGGUUGGUAACGACCUGGGAGAGUAGGAAAUUGCCG
rnacentral:rRNA from 2 species